rnacentral:rRNA from 1 species
UACGGAGGGUGCAAGCGUUAUCCGGAUUCACUGGGUUUAAAGGGUGCGUAGGUGGGCAAGUAAGUCAGUGGUGAAAUCUCCGGGCUUAACCCGGAAACUGCCAUUGAUACUAUUGGUCUUGAAUUCGGUCGAGGUUGGCGGAAUGUGUCGUGUAGCGGUGAAAUGCUUAGAUAUGACACAGAACACCGAUUGCGAAGGCAGCUAGCUAGACCGACAUUGACGCUGAGGCACGAAAGCGUGGGGAUCAAACAGG